rnacentral:rRNA from 1 species
UACGAAGGGGGCUAGCGUUGUUCGGAAUUACUGGGCGUAGAGCGCACGUAGGCGGACUAUUAAGUCAGGGGUGAAAUCCCGGGGCUCAACCCCGGAACUGCCUUUGAUACUGGUAGUCUCGAGUCCGGAAGAGGUGAGUGGAAUUCCGAGUGUAGAGGUGAAAUUCGUAGAUAUUCGGAGGAACACCAGUGGCGAAGGCGGCUCACUGGUCCGGUACUGACGCUGAGGUGCGAAAGCGUGGGGAGCAAACAGG